rnacentral:rRNA from 1 species
GACGAACGCUGGCGGCGUGCUUAACACAUGCAAGUCGUACGGUAAGGCCCUUUCGGGGGUACCCGAGUGGCGCACGGGUGCGUAACACGUGAGUAACCUGCCCACAACUUUGGGAUAACGCUAGGAAACUGGUGCUAAUACUGGAUAUGUGCCCCUGCUGCAUGGUGGGGGUUGGAAAGCUCCGGCGGUUGUGGAUGGACUCGCGGCCUAUCAGCUUGUUGGUGGGGUAGUGGCCUACCAAGGCGGCGACGGGUAGCCGGCCUGAGAGGGUGACCGGCCACAUUGGGACUGAGAUACGGCCCAGACUCCUACGGGAGGCAGCAGUGGGGAAUAUUGCACAAUGGGCGCAAGCCUGAUGCAGCAACGCCGCGUGCGGGAUGACGGCCUUCGGGUUGUAAACCGCUUUCAGCAGGGACGAAGCUUUUUGUGACGGUACCUGCAGAAGAAGCACCGGCUAACUACGUG